rnacentral:rRNA from 1 species
CGGCUAACUCCGUGCCAGCAGCCGCGGUAAUACGGAGGGGGCUAGCGUUGUUCGGAAUUACUGGGCGUAAAGGGUGCGUAGGCGGUCCCGUAAGUUAGGUGUGAAAUCCUUGGGCUUAACCCAAGAACUGCAUUUAAAACUGUGGGACUCGAACGUGAUAGAGGGCAAUGGAAUUUUUGGUGUAGGGGUGAAAUCCGUAGAUAUCAAGAGGAACGUCAGGGGCGAAAGCGAUUGCCUGGAUCACAGUUGACGCUGAGGCACGAAAGCGUGGGGAGCAAACAGGAUUAGAUACCCUGGUAGUCCAC